UGUGGGAGCGAGCCUGCUCGCGAUGGCGCCCUAUCAGUCAAACCCUACUGAUCUGCCCAUCGCGAGCAGGCUCGCUCCCACA
rnacentral:misc_RNA from 1 species